GGCAGCCCUGACACAAGUAGUAUAGAAAUAUAAAAUCAGAGGUCCUAAACGGAGUUCAUAAUAAGGAAUCACAUUUGCAUUUCUUUGGAUUUCACAUUUACUGUGAAAUAGUGCAACUAGUUUACCCCAGAAAAAUCAAUAAGCAGGGAGCAUAUGGGAGGGACGUAUGCUAAGGAACCCUUGGUAUAGUAUCAUCACCCAUCGGCAAUGCAUGUUAUAAUUUUCCUCCAUACAGACCCAUAGAACAUAAAAAGAUCACAUAUGUUUCCCAAUCUACAUUGAUGCUGAGCAGCUUAACAAAGGGAAAUUCGCAUGCAACAUCUGAGCGCACAAGAGUAUAGAGAAAGAAGGCGAACAAUUGCAGCAACAGAAGACCUCCCCAACUUGACAAGUCCUAAGUAAGUUCAAGAUCACUUAAAUAUCCACUAAAAAUUCUCCGUUUUGGCACUAUAAAACCUAAAAAUUACCUAAAACUCUAACAAAUCAGAGGCUCAACUUCAUUCAAAUAUCCGCUAAAAAUUCCCAAAUUUAGCACAAUAAAACUCAAAUGGCCUAAAAC
rnacentral:misc_RNA from 1 species